rnacentral:siRNA from 1 species
AGGUUCUUGUCUUUGAAUGGC